UAUAAUAUUAAAGAAAAAGCAAAUGUUUCUUUUUUUUUGUCGAAAGGUUUUCUGAAAAUUCUAAGCCAAAGUUGUAUAUGGGGAGUGGUACUGUCUGUGUACACAAAGACUGGCAGUCUUGACACAACCCCUCCCUUCAACUCCAGCCCCUACCUCUAUAUUUUUGCCCGCACCAAGCCACCCUUAACAGACUGCAGGCCUCUGCAGCAAAAACAGCAGCUCGUUGUCACACAUUUGACCCCCAGUGACAGCAGUGGGCCAUGGAGGCUGAUGGUGAGCUGUGUGAACCAUCAAACAUGUGUCAUUAUGAAGGGCUGCCACUUGUCAGUAACUCUUCUCUUCCCAUUCUAAAAUAUCUCCUAGGCCAACCCCACCGCCCUGCCCAUCCCCGAGCUCACACUCACCAGCAGAACUGGCUGAAUGUUGUUGAUUUCCUGACCCAAGUGGAUGCGGAUCAGCGGAAAGGCCCCGACAACUCCUUCUCUGCCAGACCAAGGAGCUCAUCUCAGAACCUUCGUCCAAAACUUUGACCACACAGACACCAGGAUGAGACUCUGAUGGAAGGGGCCAGAGAGAGAGCAAAGUCCCUUGAUGUUCAAAAUAAAUCUGACAGGCCCUACUGGGUAAGGCUCCGAAUAAUCUUUCUCACUGACUUCAUGCUGGCGGAUAUUUGUGUGUGUAGUUUGUCUUUUUUUCUUCACGCCAUUUUCAUUAAUUUCACCACCUUCUUUCAUCUCAGCCUCAGCACUUCUUUUUUUUUCUCCACGCAGCAGCAUCAGAUAAUUCCAUAAUUUACAGCUAUGCAUUGUUGAAGACGAAUGAGAGUUGCUUUUUUGCUCAGGAUGCAUUUACCUCCACAAUAUAAUAAUCUUUUUGUAGGAAUAAUAAUAAAAGAAAUGCCUUCAAAAGAAAUUUAGCAUUUUUAUCAUAUUCUCGCUCUAAUGUGCUAAAAGUGAGUGUUAUUUUCAAUCUUUCAUUUAAAAAAAAUGGUGAGAGUGCUGCUUUCUUCUGGUUUUCCUCUUUUCAUAUGCCUAAGUGAAAUAUUGCUGCAUUUAGGAAAAGUUUGUGUGUGUUCAAAUUGAAUCCGCCUCAAGAGGGAAAAACACAUCAUUUUGGAAAGACUUUCUUUUUUGUCAAAACAUCCGCUUUUUAUGCAUAUACAGAAAUAACAGGAAUUUCAGGUGUCAGUCACAGACAACUAUUUUAUCUCAUGAGUUCUCUCUCACAUUUUUUUCCCCCUGCAGAGUCGAGCAAAGGAGGCUUCUACUUGUUGAGAGUCACUGGGGGAAGCAGUGUCCGGGGGCGGGGGGGGGGUCAGUUUCCCCCGGGACCGCUGUAAAGGACUCCGGCGGCCCUCCAACCGCGCCCUCUGAUGGGCUGUAGUCAGAGGUCAAAGGUCAUUUGAAGCAACAUGGUAUGAAUAUGUAACCUUGUGACACACAAGCUGGAUCAAAAGACAAAUGGACUCUCUGAAGGAGAUCAUGAUUGGAUCCUAAAUACGGGCAAAGUGACCUAAUUCUCAGAAGCUUCGGACAAAUCGGUUUCUCCAAUGUGAUGGCUUGUUUAUUUCAAUUUAUUGACUUGAACACGUUCCAAUAUUUUUUUUCUUUCUCCUUAUGCAGUCAAAACAACCAAAAAAAUAAAACCUGCAAAAAACAAAUACAUAAACACAACCCAAAAGUCGUUCAUUGUUCUCAGGCUACGAACUAAUUUUCUCCUUUAACCAGAGCAAUGCUCAGAAUUCACACCUCACAUUCCACUCGCCCUCACAGUUCCUGAAAACAAUGCCUUUAAAUUGUCUUAAUUUGAGCAUAGACUGGUUUUACAGCUGUGCGUGGGAGGAGCUGGAGGUUGAAGUGCUCCAUGAAUGAGAUGUGAAUUAUCUUCCUAAUGAAAUAUAAUACUGAAAAUGAACUCUGCUGGACCUAAGGCACGCAGAACAAUAAGGAGAGAUGAAGAAAAUGAAGCAGUUGCGUUUGCGCAUGUGCCUCUGUGUGUACGGUCUCAAAUUUGUGCAUGUUUUAAAAGUGCAUGCAAUUGCUAAAAUGCAUAAAAGUUAUGUUUAAAAAAAAUAAAACUGUGUUCAUUCUUUUAUUGAAGUGGAAAUCCCCAAGAAUACAAAAUGAUGCACACUGCACUUCCUUUGUCCUACUUUAAGCCCCACUUUUGCUGGAGUGCAGCAAAGUGCCUGCAACGAAGAAGAAUGGAUGAAGACGGCAUUGACUUUCCCCCAAUUUUUUUUAAUAAACUGUCAGUCACCUGCAGCAGUGACUGACACUGAUAUCAUAUGAUGCAGCAUUCCAUAUAAAAGAUCUCUUAUUCUUCUUCCGGCUCAAUCUGAGGCCUGUCCUCCCUUCGUAUU
rnacentral:lncRNA from 1 species